UAAUACAUGCAAGUCGAGCGCACUGGCCCAACAGAAAUGACGUGCUUGCACUGAUUUGACGUUGGAUUCCCAGUGAGCGGCGGACGGGUGAGUAACACGUGGGCAACCUGCCCCAAAGCGGGGGAUAACAUUUGGAAACAGGUGCUAAUACCGCAUAACUUGGAAAACCACAUGGUUUUCCAAUAAAAGAUGGUUUCGGCUAUCACUUUGGGAUGGGCCCGCGGUGCAUUAGCUAGUUGGUA
rnacentral:rRNA from 1 species